AACGAACGCUGGCGGCGCGCCUAAUACAUGCAAGUCGAACGAGAAUGUGUAGCAAUACACAUGUACAGUGGCGAACGGGUGAGGACUACAUGGGUAACCUACCCUCGAGUGGGGGAUAACCAGCCGAAAGGUUGGCUAAUACCGCGUACGCUUCCGGGACUGCGGCUUCGGAAGGAAAGCGAUACCGUGGGUAUCGCGCUCUUGGAUAGGCUCAUGCCCUAUCAGCUUGUUGGUGAGGUAACGGCUCACCAAGGCAUCGACGGGUAGCUGAUCUGAGAGGAUGAUCAGCCACACUGGCACUGCGACACGGGCCAGACUCCUACGGGAGGCAGCAGUAAGGAAUAUUGCGCAAUGGGCGAAAGCCUGACGCAGCGACGCCGCGUGGGGGAUGAAGGUCUUCGGAUUGUAAACCCCUUUCGGGAGGGAAGAUGGGAUGGGGUAACCCAUUCGGACGGUACCUCCAGAAGCAGCCACGGCUAACUUCGUGCCAGC
rnacentral:rRNA from 1 species